rnacentral:lncRNA from 1 species
CUUGCUGAUGCGUUAGUGUGGCCUCACACUUCAGAUGGAAAGUUAAAUUUGAGGCAUGCUUUUUCUUUUCUCCGUCCGAGGGCCCCUUUGCUGCCUUGGGCGGUUCUCAUAUGGAGUUCUUCUAUUCCACCUUCUCACUCUUGUAUUUAUUGGAGGCUUCAUCAUGGUAAGAUGCCCACGGAUGAUAAUCUUAGAAGUCGUGGCUGCAUUGUUGUGUCGAUUUGUAAUUUAUGCUUGAAAAUUGAUGAAACUUCUGAGCACCUUUUUAGCACCUUUUUCUUAGAUGCCAAUUUUCCAAGCAGCUUUGGGACUGGAUAGGUGUUAAGCUCAAUCGAGUUAUUGAUUGCUCUACAGUAGACUCGCUCAUCUCUUGUAGGCCGGUUAGGUGCUCAUUCCCAAGUGUCAGACAUUUUUUUGGCAUCAAUCUUGCACAGGUUGCACACUAUUUGGUGGGUUAGGAAUUCAUUGCGGUUUACAACAGUGACGCCAACUUUGCAUUCAGCCAAAGUCCGUAUUCAUUCCUUGAUUGCAAUGUCUGGUAAUAUCUCUAAGGGUAAGUGUUUACAGUCUGAUCUCGCUUUCCUUAAUUCUUUGGCGCUUUCCCCUCAUUGUCGUAGAGUCAAGGAUAUUAUUAUGGUUUUGUGGAAGGCCCCCACCGCUCCGUGGUUGAAGGUCAAAACGGAUGGUUCGAUGAUUGGUGGAUUUGCGGCAUGUGGGGGGCUGUUUCGUGACCACCUAGGCAUGUUCCUUAGUGCUUUUUCUUGCAACGUUGGCUUACAGUCUGUUUAUUAUGCGGAGGUUCUUGGUAUUAUUCUAGCCAUUGAGUUUGCUGCCCGGAAAGGGUGGAGGAACAUUUGGAUUGAGAGCGACUCCACAAGUGCUCUUAUGAUUUUUUCAAACCAUCUUUUGGUGCCUAUUAUGUUACGUAACAAAUGGCAUAAUGCUCGCAUUCUUGGAAUUCAGGUUAUUUCUUCUCACAUUUUCCGUGAAGGUAACUGUUGUGCAGACAAAUUAGCUAAUUUCGGUCACUCCAUGGUUGGUGAGAUAUGGCUAGACACCCUUCCUGAUGAGAUGAAGACUGAUUUCUUUAGGGACAGAUGCGGUUUACCUAACUAUAGAUUUCCAUAAUCUGUUUUCGGUUGUUUUGGUGUUUUUUCUGUUUCUUUUUAUUUGUUUACUUUUGAGGGUUUUUGUCUAGUCCCCCUACUUUUGUAUUUUUUUCCCUUUUUUUAAUAAAAUUUUGUGGAGUUUAGCAACACAGGAUGGAGAUAUCUCGGGAUGCCAAUCUAGUUGGGAUGUCGAUGAUGUCUGUAUAAUGCCUGUUCUUUC